GCUCGGUUAGCUCAGUUGGUUAGAGCGUGGUACUAAUAAACUAUCCGGUUUAUCCAGUAAUGCCAAGGUCAUGAGUUCGACCCUCAUACUGAGCA
rnacentral:tRNA from 1 species